rnacentral:tRNA from 1 species
GGCGGAUUAGCCAACGUAGACCGGU